UCAGACAGCGACUCAGACUCAGACAGCGACUCAGAUUCAGAUAGCGAUUCAGACUCAGACAGCGAUUCAGACUCAGAUAGCGAUUCAGACUCAGACAGUGAUUCAGAAUCAGACAGCGACUCAGACUCAGAUAGCGAUUCAGAUUCAGAUAGCGACUCGGA
rnacentral:sRNA from 1 species